ensembl:lncRNA
GGCUGUCUUGCCAGGGUCUAUGCCUUUUCUCCUCUUAGAAGAAUGCAGUGACAGCAGGACACCCUGCAAUCCAGAAUGACUGGAUCUCAACUUGAUGAUAUCUACAAACACCUGAUCUCCAAGAAUCACGAAUCAACAUCCGCUCUUCCAAAGAAGUCUCUUGUUUUUUGCACGCAAACUUCGCUGCUGGUCCUCAGGGACUCGACAGGGAAGCUGCCCUCCACGUGACAGCUCUGUGCUGGAGUCUGUGUCAACACCAACUGGCCAGAUCACAACUAAACGGGGGAGAGAGUGCCGGGAAGUCCACUACUAUCAAACGUUUCUGCCCCCAGGAUCUCAUUUCCCUCAUGGCAAAAUGAGGUGGAUCAUAUUGGGUGGUACUGAAGACCCUUGGAGUUGGGGCACCUGUGAAGGAAGACAGCAGAAAAAUGAUUUAAUUGCCCUUGGAAAGUUGUCAUCAGGAAAUCAGAGGAGCCCAGUAGGAGGAACGCAUGACGCAGCCUGGAGGCAGGAGGGAGGCUCCCCAGAGGAGGUGACAUUUCAUCUGAAGUGAAGAGCAUGUGGAGCGGGCCAGCAGUGGGGAGUGGAGGAGCGCUUCAGGUGGAGAAGAAGAGGGCUCACCAGGCCUGGGGACUGGCCCAACUCCACCACCAGUGACAGGGUGAACCGGGACCAUGUCCAGGCUGGGCCUCUUUCCAGACAUCCUACUGCCCAGGGUAGCAUUCCACAGCUUCCUUCACUCUCAGCAGCUACCACUUAGCCAGGAAAGUAUCUUGCUUGAACUGAGGAGGAAAAAUGUCCAGCCUGUGAAGCUCUGGUGAAAGCUGACUUUGGAAAUAAGGAAACAGGCUGAGGAAAGGCUUGGGGCUUUGUGUGCACUCUCACAGGCAGCACCCACGGCAGCCCGCACUGGGAGCAUCUCCACGACUUCCUGGUCCAGCAGCCCGUGCGCUGCCCAGCGCCAGACCCCCAAGGAGCCCGUGCCUGCUUUAACAUGCUGCUCUUGUCGCCUUGAAGUCCCCGA